rnacentral:tRNA from 1 species
GGGGAUUUAGCUCAGUGGUAGAGCCCUUGCCUAGCAAGUGCAAGGCCCUGGGUUCAGUCCCCA